UGGGGCGUAGUGCAAUGGUAGCACGUUAGAUUUUGGUUCUAAAAAUUCCGGUUCGACCCCGGACACCCUAACCA
rnacentral:tRNA from 1 species